ensembl:lncRNA
UAUUGCAUGAGAUGACUGACUGAACUGACCCCUGAUCUCAUAUGUGUUCCCUCUAGGCUAGAAAAUUAGAUCGCAAUAGUUAGAAGAAUUAUAAUCUUGGCCCUGGCAAGCCUGGAAAAAGCAUCAUGGCAAGCCUAAAGGAAAUCAACACACAGAAGCAAGGAAGAGACCUUUGGACAUGCAAAGGUCUCAGCUUCCUGGAGAAAUUGGACUUCAAAAGUUCUUCCCCUUAUAAAUCUUGCAAUCCCACCUAAGGAUAGGAACACAACAGAACAACUCAUGUUGACUUUGCUUCCAUUUCUCUACCAAAAGAAACAAUCUGUUAACUCUGAAAAGUAAAACAAAACAAAACAAAACCAAAAAAAAGGAUAAUAAGCAAGCUGAUGCCUGAGGUAAGUGAGAAGGUAGCAAGAGAGCAAUUUACUGUCAUCGAUGAAAUCAAAUCACAUGCCAAAUGAAUUACUCUCCAGGAUAUCGAAAAGAAACCUAAUGACUUCAAAUUCCAA